rnacentral:misc_RNA from 1 species
GAUGAAGAACGUAGCGAAAUGCGAUAAGUAAUGUGAAUUGCAGAAUUCAGUGAAUCAUCGAAUCUUUGAACGCACCUUGCGCCCUUUGGCCAUUCCGAAGGGCAUGCCUGUUUGAGUAUCAUGAACACCUCAACUCUCAUGGCUUGCCAUGAUGAGCUUGGACUUUGGGGGUCUUGCUGGCCUGUGGUCGGCUCCUCUCAAAUGAAUCAGCUUGCCAGUGUUUGGUGGCAUCACAAGUGUGAUAACUAUCUGCGCUCGUGGUUUCCAGCAGAUAACCUCCAGUGAUGGAGGUUCGCUGGGGCUCAUAAAUGUCUCUCCUAAGUGAGGACAGCUCUUUUAAUGUUUGAUCUCAAAUCAGGUAGGACUACCCGCUGAACUUAAGCAUAUCAAUAAGCGGAGGA